CCACAUCAACAGCGCCGCGAUUUCCCAAUCAGUUUUCUCUGGAUAUAUGCCCAGCAGGACUGCAAGAUCAUAUGCAGAGCCAGAAUAUUCAAAUGAACUUUGCUAAAGGAUAACCUAAAAGAAUUUUCCACUAUGAGAGCCUGACAUAGUUCAUUCACCUUUAAUAAAUGAAGCAGGGCUUCCCUGGUGGCGCAGUGGUUAAGAAUCCGCCUGCCAAGGCAGGGGACACAGGUUCGAGCCCUGGUCCAGGAAGAUCCCACAUGCCGCGGAGCAACUAAGCCCGUGCGCCACAACUACUGAGCCUGCGCUCUAGAGCCCGCGAGCCACAACUACUGAAGCCCGCACGCCUAGAGCCCAUGCUCCGCAACAAGAGAAGCGCCACAAUGAGAAGCCCGCACACCGCAACGAAGAGUAACCCCUGCUCGACGCAACUAAAGAAAGCCUGCACGCAGCAACGAAGACCCAACGC